AAGGUUAUAGCUUAUAUAAAGCUUGUUAUUUACAUUAAUAGGAAAAUUAAUAUUUAAUCUCA
rnacentral:tRNA from 1 species